UGAGUCGGCCGGGCGGCCGCGUCGUCCUUGGUGCGCACCAAGGACGCCGAGGAAGGUCCGGACUCCACAGAGCAACGGUGGUGGGUAACGCCCACCCACGGUGACGUGCGGGACAGUGCCACAGAAAACAGACCGCCAGCGGCCUCACGCCUUGUGCGUGAGGUGCGGGUAAGGGUGAAACGGUGGUGUAAGAGACCACCAGCGCCUCGGGUGACCGAGGUGGCUCGGUAAACCCCACUGGGAGCAAGACCAAGAAGGGCCUCAGGGUCCGCGCAGGUGCUGACGCUGCUCGCCGAGCCUGCGGGUAGGUUGCUAGAGCGUCGCGGUGACGCGGCGCCGAGAGAGAUGGUCGCCGGGGCGGGGAGACGUCCUGACAGAAUCCGGCCUACAGGCCGACUCAUCCG
rnacentral:RNase_P_RNA from 1 species